rnacentral:rRNA from 1 species
GAUGAACGCUGGCGGCGUGCCUAAUACAUGCAAGUCGAGCGAACAGACGAGGGGCUUGCUCCUCUGACGUUAGCGGCGGACGGGUGAGUAACACGUGGAUAACCUACCUAUAAGACUGGGAUAACUUCGGGAAACCGGAGCUAAUACCGGAUAAUAUAUUGAACCGCAUGGUUCAAUAGUGAAAGACGGUUUUGCUGUCACUUAUAGAUGGAUCCGCGCCGCAUUAGCUAGUUGGUAAGGUAACGGCUUACCAAGGCAACGAUGCGUAGCCGACCUGAGAGGGUGAUCGGCCCCACUGGAACUGAGACACGGUCCAGACUCCUACGGGAGGCAGCAGUAGGGAAUCUUCCGCAAUGGGCGAAAGCCUGACGGAGCAACGCCGCGUGAGUGAUGAAGGUCUUCGGAUCGUAAAACUCUGUUAUUAGGGAAGAACAAAUGUGUAAGUAACUAUGCACGUCUUGACGGUACCUAAUCAGAAAGCCACGGCUAACUACGUG